UAGGUGCAGAUUCAUGUGUGCAUGCAUGAGU
rnacentral:piRNA from 1 species